UACGUAGGUGGCAAGCGUUACUCGGAAUCACUAGGCGUAAAGCGCAGGUAGGCGGUUUGGUAAGUCUUUUGUGAAAGCUCCCGGCUCAACUGGGAGAGGUCAAAGGAAACUACUAGGCUAGAGUGCGGGAGAGGAGAGUGGAAUUCCCAGUGUAGAGGUGAAAUUCGUAGAUAUUGGGAAGAACACCGGUGGCGAAGGCGGUCUGCUGGGGUAAUGCUGACACUGAUGCGCGACAGCGUGGGGAGCAAACAGG
rnacentral:rRNA from 1 species